UACAGAGGGUGCAAGCGUUAAUCGGAAUUACUGGGCGUAAAGCGUGCGUAGACGGUUAUUUAAGUCGGGUGUGAAAGCCCCGGGCUCAACCUGGGAAUUGCAUUUGAGACUGAAUAGCUAGGGUGCGGAAGAGGGAAGCGGAAUUUCCGGUGUAGCGGUGAAAUGCGUAGAUAUCGGAAGGAACACCAGUGGCGAAAGCGGCUUCCUGGUCCAGCACCGACGUUCAGGCACGAAAGCUAGGGGAGCGAACGGG
rnacentral:rRNA from 1 species